GUUGGAGAUGCCCUUUGAGACCUUAGCCUCUCCGUGUGCAUCCUGGAGCUUUCAGGGUCAGACAAGGGUUGGAAAGAGGAGUGGUGUUACUAGCUGUGUGCCCGUGGGCAGGUCACAGUCUAGCCCUCUGCCCGGGUACAGGGGAUCCCUUGCCGAAGAGCUGGGCAGGCGGUGGGUGGACAAUAAAUGACCACCCCUCCACCAGCCACCGGGAGAAGGGUAGCCACAGGGUCAGACCUCCCCGAAGACCGACUUCUAAGUCCCCUGAGAUUGCACACACCCCAGGAUGCAAGCAGGUGCUUGGAUGGGGCAGAAAGAAAGGGCGCGGGGAGUUGCUGGAAGCGGAACGGCGCACAGGCCUCCUGACUUCCCGGGAAGAGGGAGCAUCUGCAGGGCGACCAAGGCAGAUUCCUCCAGGUUUUUCCAGGAGCUAAUUAAAGGAAGGGGUAUGGUGAGGAGCCUCACUGUUAUUUCUGUUUUUCCCUGUUAGUAGUGACUGGAAUGUGCGCCAUCCAGGUCAGAUGGAAAAUAGAAGCCUGGAAAAUCUGACACUCUCAUUGAUGUGCUCUCUGCCAUCGCUACUCGCGAGAGGAAGAAAUGUGACUUCAAAAUUGCAAUUAGGAACCAGCUCGCUAAGGGCUCCUUGCGUGAGCUCCCGUGCUGGGCCCAUCACAGGCCUGCCUCUUCUCAUUUCCCGAGGAGGGCGUUUGCUUCUCGGAAGGGAGACGGGAAAGCAUCUCUCGACCCGUCUCACACAUGAGGCCAGAGAGCUGCCUCUCUCGGUGGAGCCAGCCUGGCUUUAUCCAGUGCCGCCACUGAGCAAGAUCCCACGGCCCCGUGUUUUAUUCCCAAACCCGCAAAACGAAGUGCAGGCCUUUGGAGCCUCGUGAUGCUGCGCAGCAAGAACCGGGCGAAGGAACCCAUCCAGAAGCGAAACCGGGAUGUCAGAGCUGGCAGGGACAUGGGCGAGUGUCACUUCAGACCUGGGAACCUAUCACACAUCUGGGGCCCAGAUGCAGGGCAGGGGCCCACCACAGGAGAGCUGGGACGGGCUGAUCAGCCGGGGUGGCUGUGGGCUCAGGAGCAGGGAGGCGGCUCGGCGGCUGGUGCGCUGUGGCCGGAGGCCCUGCUUCCUUCCAUCCCCCGCACCUUCCCUCCUUUCCUCCGAGUGCCCACUUCUGAGGCACCUUCACAUUUCAAACGUCCUGAGAAUAUGUUUAAUUAGAACUUGGCCAUACAGCCUUUUAAAAUAAAACAGAAGGGACCAGCUAAUUAUAUCGCUCA
rnacentral:lncRNA from 1 species